GUCCAAGGCUCUGCAUCGCGUCCUGUUUCUCCCUUCAAGGCCGUCCGUACUCGCCACGUUACCUACACGCACCCGUUUAUUAUUCUUGCACGACGCAGAGGGCCCGCUCCCGGCGCAGUUCCCUCACCAUCCUGCAGGGGGCAGCCGGCCCGCGACCGCGCGGGCGGGGCCGCACCCUCCCUGCGGCGGGGCCCGAGCCUCGCGCCCGGUACGCAGCCCCCCCACCCCCGGGGGCCCGGCCGGCGCAGUCGCCCCCGCCUUCGCUGCCAGGGCCUUCGCCGUCCGCCUUUGCACGUCACAGCGCCGGCGGCCCCGGGACGCGGCUCGGGACCCCCCGCGGUGACGAAGCCGACGGCCCGCCCCCGGGGACCGAGGAGCCCCCAGCCCGGCGGCCCCCCAAGCCCCGCCUCGCCGCCAGCAGGCGGGCUGCGCACGCGCGGCUCCCGCGCCCGCCCCGCCCCGCCCCGCCCCGCCCCGCAGGCCCGCCGCCGCGCUCCGGGGCCGCCAGCCCGAGCCUGCGAGCCCGCGGGGUCCCGGCGGCCCCUCGCCGCGCCGCCCCGCCCCGGGCCCGGCCCCGAGUCCCCCGACGCCGCCUACCGUGAGCGGCCGCGACAGCUCCCGGCCUCCCCGCUGCAGGCCGGCCCGCGCCAACCCAAAGGCCUAGAGUGGAGGCCUCUCGGGCGGGGGGCGGGGGCGGGGGCGGGGCCCGGCGGGGGCGGGGCAUCUGGGGCUCCGGGCAGGGGAGCGGGAGGAGCGCUCGGGGAGCGGGGCGGCGGCCCUCGGAGGCGCGCGGGCGCGGGAAGAGGGCCCUGCGCCGAGCCCGGGAGGGCUCCCCGGGUGUGGCCCUGUCGGCAGCUCAGGUCACUUACCGCCCGCACCUGUCCAACCAAUUUUUUUUUUUUUUUAAAUGAGGAGGGGCGCAUGCCUGGCCCAGUUAAGAGUCUGCCUCCAGCUCAGGUCAUGAUUUCAGGGUGCUGGGACCGAGCCCCAAGUCCACCUCCGAGGUCCUUGCUCAGCAGGGAGUCUGCUUCUUCCUCUCCCUCUGCCCCUCUCCCCUCAAACAAAUACAAUCUUUACAAAUAA
rnacentral:lncRNA from 1 species